rnacentral:rRNA from 1 species
UAAGGGAUAUUGCGCAAUGGGCGAAAGCCUGACGCAGCAACGCCGCGUGGAGGAAGAAGGCCUUCGGGUCGUAAACUCCUUUUGGGUCUGACGAGGAAGGACGGUAGGACCUGAAUAAGUCACGGCUAACUACGUGCCAGCAGCCGCGGUAAAACGUAGGUGGCGAGCGUUAUCCGGAUUUACUGGGCGUAAAGCGUGUGCAGGCGGGGAACCAAGUGGUGUAUGAAAUUUCCCGGCUUAACCGGGAAGGGUUAUGCCAGACUGGUUUUCUGGAGUGCGAGAGAGGGGCGUGGAAUUCCGGGUGUAGUGGUGAAAUGCGUAGAGAUCCGGAGGAACCCCAGAGGCGAAGGCGGCGCCCUGGCUCGCAACUGACGCUCAGACACGACAGCAUGGGGAGCGAACGG